rnacentral:rRNA from 1 species
GUCUAUGGCCAUGCCACCAUGAACAAGCCCGAUCCCGUCUGAUCUCUGAAGGUAAGCAGAGUCUGGCCUGGUUAGUACUUGGAUGGGAGACCACCUAGAAAGACCAGGUGCUGUAGGCA